CGCACUUUGUGGAUUACAUAGACAAGGAGUUGAGCUAUUCCAAAUUCUUUAAAAGGUACUUACUUCCCAACCACCCAUUCAUGUUCUCGAGGAAAUUCACUAGACUGGACAUGCAGAAAACAGUGGAUCACUGAAGAGGGGAAACCAACCUUCCAGAAACUGCUGCAGCAAUUUGAUGAGACUCUGGUUCCUGUUGCAAACAGUAAUGUGAAAGACUACAAUGCAAACCCCAAGCAAAUUAUUUAUUCACUACUGGAAGGAAUACAUCCAGAAUGGACACUCGUCACCAAAAGGAUGUCUAUCUGAACAAUUCUAAACUAUCAAAAUAAAGAAAGUGGCACACUCCAUGUAUAAUCUCCCAGCAAUUUAAUGGGUAUUUACCAAUGUUUCGGCAUCACCCUGAGGAAGGCACAGUGAUGCCAAAACAUUGGUAAAUGCCCAUUAAAUUGCUGGGAGAUUAUACAUGGAGUGUGCGACUUUAUUUUGAUAGCUUAUUCGCCGUUAGUCAGCACCUCCACGCAAACUAUUAUUCUGGGUGGGCGCCAGCUCAUGUUUUUUUACCUUUUAUCUGAAGGAUUGACACAUGUCAAGGAAAUCUUAAGUCUUAUUACAUACAGCCGGGAGGAACUAUUGGAUAUAAGAGCAAUGCCAAUUUACCAACAUUAUGACCAGGAACACGACGGGUCUGUUCAACGCUGGUCCAACCAAUCUGAUUCCACGCUUCAAGAUUGCUUGAAGCUGGGAUAUGUUCCAAAUGGCGUCGAACAACAAGAUUGAUGUAUACGCUGAUUCGGUGAGCCAGUUUAUUAGCAAGUGCAUCAGUGAUGUUGUAUCCACAGCGACUAUUAAUACCGUGGAUUGAUAACGUGGAUUGAUGGUAGCAUUCACGCAAAACUGAAAGUGCGAACCAUUGCUUUUAAUCAGGGCAAGGCGACCGGAAACAUGACCGAAUACAAACAGUGUAGCUAUUCCCUCCGCAAGGCAAUCAAAUAAGCUAAGCGUCAGUUUAGAGACAAAGUAGAGUCGCAAUUCAACGGCUCAGACACGAGAGGUAUGUGGCAGGGUCUACAGUCAAUCACGGACCACGAAACCAUCCCCGUCGCGGACCCCGAUAUCUUGCUCCCAGACAAACUAAACAGCUUUUUUACCUUUAUUUUACUAGGCAAGUCAGUUAAGAACAAAUUCUUAUUUUCAAUGACGGCCUAGGAACAGUGGGUUAACCCUCGCAAUGCUGCCUGCCUAGACGGCAUCCCUAGCCAAGUCCUCAGAGCAUGUGCAGACCAGCUGGCUGGUGGGGUUACGGACAUAUUCAAUCAAUCCCUAUCCCAGUCUGCUGUUCCCACAUGCUUCAAGAGGGCCACCAUUGUUCCUGUUCCCAAGAAAGCUAAGGUAACUGAGCUAAGCGACGAUCGCCCCGUAGCACUCAAUUCCGUCAUCAUGAAGUGCUUUGAGAGACUAGUCAAGGAUCAUAUCACCUCCACCCUACCUGACACCCUAGACCCACUCCAAUUUGCUUACCGCCACAAUAGGUCCACAGACGACGCAAUCGCAAUCACACAGCACACUGCCCUAACCCAUCUGGACAAGAGGAAUACUUAUGUAAGAAUGCUGUUCAUUGACUACAGCUCAGCAUUUAACACCAUAGUACCCUCCAAACUCGUCAUUAAGCUUGAGACCCUGGGUCUUGACCCCGCCCUGUGCAACUGGGUCCUGGACUUUCUGACGGGAUGCCCCCAGGUGGUGAGGGUAGGAAGCAACAUCUCCACCCCGCUGAUCCUCAACACUGGGGACCCACAAGGGUGUGUUCUCAGCCCUCUCCUGUACUCCCUGUUCACCCAUGACUGCGUGGCCAUGCACGCCUCCAACUCAAUCAUCAAGUUUGCAGACGACACUACAGUGGUAGGCUUGAUUACCAACAACGAUGAGACGGCCUACAGGGAGGAGGUGAGGGCCCUCGGAGUGUGGUGUCAGGAAAAUAACCUCUCACUCAACAUCAACAAAACAAAGGAGAUGAUCGUGGACUUCAGGAAACAGCAGAGGGAGCAGCCACAUCGACGGGACAGUAGUGGAGAAGGUGGAAAGUUUUACGUUUCUCGGCAUACACAUUACGGACAAACUGAAAUGGUCCACCCACACAGACAGGGUGGUGAAGAAGGCGCAACAGCGCCUCUUCAACCUCAGGAGGCUGAAGAAAUUUGCCUUGUCACCAAAAACACUCAAACCGUUACAGAUUCACAAUUGAGAGCAUCCUGUUGGGCUGUAUCACCGCCUGGUAUGGCAACUGCUCCGCCCACAACCAUAAGGCUCUCCAGAGGGUAGUGAGGUCUGCACAACACAAAACCGGGGGCAAAAUACCUGCCCUCCAGGACACCUAUAGCACCCGACGUCACAGGGAGGACAAAAAGAUCAUCAAGGACAACAACCACCCGAGCCACUACCUGUUCACCCCGCUAUCAUCCAGAAGGCGAUGUCAGUAAAGGUGCAUCAAAGCUGGGACCGAGAGACUGAAAAGCAGCUUUUAUAUCAAGGCCAUCAGACUGUUAAAUAGCCAUCACUAACAUUGAGUGGCUGCUGCCAACAUACUGACUCAAAUCUCUAGCCACUUAAUAAUUAAAAAUGGGAUGUAAUAAAUGUAUCACAAUGCCACUUUAUAUAAUGUUUACAUACCUUACAUUACUCAUCUCACAUGGAUAUACUGUACUCGAUACCAUCUACUGCAUCUUGCCUAUGCCGUUCGGCUAUCGCUCAUCCAUAUAUUAUAUGUACAUAUUCUUAUUCAUUCCUUUACACUUGUGUGUAUAAGGUGGAUGUUGUGAAAUUGUUAGAUUACUUGUUAUAUUACUGCAUGGUCGGAACUAGAAGCACAAGCAUUUCGCUAUACUCGCAUUAACAUCUGCUAACCAUGUGUAUGUGACCAAUAAAAUUUGAAUUGAUGUGA